rnacentral:rRNA from 1 species
UCAUGGCCCUUACGGCCUGGGCUACACACGUGCUACAAUGGUCGGUACAGAGGGUUGCCAAGCCGCGAGUGGAGCUAAUCUCACAAAACCGAUCGUAGUCCGGAUCGCAGUCUGCAACUCGACUGCGUGAAGUCGGAAUCGCUAGUAAUCGCGAAUCAGAAUGUCGCGGUGAAUACGUUCCCGGGCCUUGUACACACCGCCCGUCACACCAUGGGAGUGGGUUGCACCAGAAGUAGCUAGUCUAACCUUCGGGAGGACGGUUACCACGGUGUGAUUCAUGACUGGGGUGAAGUCGUAACAAGGUAGCCGUAGGGAA